rnacentral:rRNA from 1 species
AAGUCGUAACAAGGUUUCCGUAGGUGAACCUGCGGAAGGAUCAUUAAAGAAUGCCCCGUUUUUUGAAAUGGGUUCUGUUCCCAAACCGUGUAUACAUACUUUUGUUGCCUUGGCAGGCCGCCUUCGGGCGUCGGCUCACGCUGACAGCGCCUGCCAGAGGACCCAAACUCGUUUGUUUAGUGAUGUCUGAGUACUAUAUAAUAGUUAAAACUUUCAACAACGGAUCUCUUGGUUCUGGCAUCGAUGAAGAACGCAGCGAAGUGCGAUAAGUAAUGUGAAUUGCAGAAUUCAGUGAAUCAUCGAAUCUUUGAACGCACAUUGCGCCCGCUGGUAUUCCGGCGGGCAUGCCUGUUCGAGCGUCAUUAUGACCAAUCAAGCUCUGCUUGGCCUUGGGGCCCGCUGCACCGGCGGCCCUUAAAAUUAGUGGCGGUGCCGUCUGGCUUUAAGCGUAGUAAUACUUCUCGCUAUAGGGUCCAGUCGUUUACCCGCCAGAACCCCCAACUUUCUUAGGUUGACCUCGGAUCAGGUAGGGAUACCCGCUGAACUUAA